rnacentral:rRNA from 1 species
UACGGAGGAUCCGAGCGUUAUCCGGAUUUAUUGGGUUUAAAGGGUGCGCAGGCGGGAGAUUAAGUCGGCGGUGAAAUUUUGCAGCUCAACUGUAAAAGUGCCUUCGAAACUGGUUUCCUUGAGUGUAGAUGAAGUAGGCGGAAUUUGUGGUGUAGCGGUGAAAUGCUUAGAGAUCACACAGAAUAUCGAUUGCGAAGGCAGCUCACAAAGCCAAGAUUGACGCUGAGGCACGAAAGUGUGGGGAUCAAACAGGAUUAGAUA